rnacentral:rRNA from 1 species
GACGAACGCUGGCGGCGUGCUUAACACAUGCAAGUCGAACGGUAAGGCCCUUCGGGGUACACGAGUGGCGAACGGGUGAGUAACACGUGGGUGAUCUGCCCUGCACUUCGGGAUAAGCCUGGGAAACUGGGUCUAAUACCGGAUAGGACCACUGCCUGCAUGGGUGGUGGUGGAAAGCUUUUGCGGUGUGGGAUGGGCCCGCGGCCUAUCAGCUUGUUGGUGGGGUGAUGGCCUACCAAGGCGACGACGGGUAGCCGGCCUGAGAGGGUGUCCGGCCGCACUGGGACUGAGAUACGGCCCAGAAUCCUACGUGAGGCAGCAGUGGGGAAUAUUGCACAAUGGGCGCAAGCCUGAUGCAGCGACGCCGCGUGGGGGAUGACGGCCUUCGGGUUGUAAACCUCUUUCAGCACAGACGAAGCGCAAGUGACGGUAUGUGCAGAAGAAGGACCGGCCAACUACGUGCCAGCAGCCGCCGUAA